UACGUAGGGGGCAAGCGUUAUCCGGAUUUACUGGGUGUAAAGGGAGCGUAGACGGCAGCGCAAGUCUGGAGUGAAAUGCCGGGGCCCAACCCCGGAACUGCUUUGGAAACUGUGCAGCUCGAGUGCAGGAGAGGUAAGCGGAAUUCCUAGUGUAGCGGUGAAAUGCGUAGAUAUUAGGAGGAACACCAGUGGCGAAGGCGGCUUACUGGACUGUAACUGACGUUGAGGCUCGAAAGCGUGGGUAGCAAACAGG
rnacentral:rRNA from 1 species